GACGUAGGGAGCGAGCGUUGUCCGGAUUCAUUGGGCGUAAAGCGCGCGCAGGCGGCCGCCAGUCGGGUGUGAAAAUCCGGGGCUCAACCCCGGACCUGCAUCCGAUACCGCAUGGCUAGAGGUAGGUAGGGGAGAUCGGAAUUCCUGGUGUAGCGGUGAAAUGCGCAGAUAUCAGGAGGAACACCGGUGGCGAAGGCGGAUCUCUGGGCCUUACCUGACGCUCAGGCGCGAAAGCUAGGGGAGCGAACAGG
rnacentral:rRNA from 1 species